rnacentral:lncRNA from 1 species
CAAGGCUGGUCCAUUAGGGAUAUGUUUGACACUAUGAAAUAUUUGAUAUUUCUGAAUGAUGGGUUUGACUUAACUAAAAUUUAUCUUUUGUUGAGUACACUCAAGGAGAUAAAUUUUAGAGGCAUGUUAAGCUAACACAUAAGAUGUGUGAAAACAAAGAGUUGUCAGCUUAAUGAUCUGGGAGUUGUAUGGAGAUACAAUUGAUAAUAGUAUCUACCCAAAUAUGAUAUUAGGGCUUGUUGAGUACACUCAAGGUCUUAAUAUAAUAGAUGGGAUCCCAGCCCACUGGGAGUCAAGCAUGGACUCCAUAAAUUUAUGUGAGAGGGUCAUAAAUUUUAUUUAAACAGUGGGAGCAUAAUUAAUUUAAUAAAAGUCCAUGUUAAAUUAAUUAAUGCAUUUUAUAUAUUUUAUUCUUUUCUUUUUCGUCAUUUACAUUUUAUUGAAUCUGAGUAACCAUAUGAUUUGAAUGGCAUACUAGAUGCCAACAACAACCAAACUAUAUUUUCUUGAUUGACACUGCAAUUUGAGAAUUGUUCUCAAGCAUGAGAAAGUUGGUUGUCCUUAAGUAGCCAUUUUCCAGAGACACCUGGUGAUGACUCGAUUAAGGAAAAUGUGGCUACUAUAAUAAACACGGUGAUGACAAUAGUACUGCAACGUAUGUGAUACCUGCAACUAUGUCACCUGAGUUACAAAAGCAACUUGAGAGUAUAGAUGUUAACACAUAAUUCUUCACUACAAAGAGUUGUAUGAUAAUAAUCAUGUGUGGAAGGAUAUGAGACUUCCAAACAACUAUACAGGUGCAAAAUGACAGAGUAAUCUUCAAUCGAUGCUUAGAUACUGAAGAUGAUUGACGUUGAGAAAUGUCUCAACUGUAUUCAAUCAUAAACCAUGAACUAAGUAGUGACUUGGUCUUGUAAUCUCUGUCAGCUAAAGCUAUUCACAACUAAUUAUGAAUUUAACGUGAAUAAGCUCGAAUACAAAAAUAUUGAGUUGCUUAACAUGCUUAGGACUGUUAACCCUAGUGGGCAAACCAUUGAUUCCUUUAAAGAUAUUAAGAGGAAGUCUAAAGAGGCUUUAUGAAAGCACCCAAUAUGGUUAAGACAGUAUAAGCGAAAGGACAAAUACCAAAUCUAAUGACCCUUGGUUUCAUUAUAGAAUGAAAGGUCAUUAGAAGGAAUAUUGUAUGACUUACGUCUACUUCACGAGUUUCUUAGGUAUAUGAUACCAGAUGUAAAUAUCGUAUUUAUACAAAUAUGGAGAAACUAAAAAGAAGUAGACCACUGCGAAAGGGAGAAGUUGACAUACACGUUGGAGAUGAGCAAAGGUUGCUACAUUACCUGUAUGAAUAUACUUCUUACCAUUGCCUUUUGGUUUAGUAUUGAAAUGUCGUUUUAUGCCAACUAUAGCUGGAACAUUAAAAUGAAUUUCAUGUUCAGACAUGAACUAUUUUAAUGUUAAGGACAAUUGUUGUUCUUAUUUAUCUUGUUAAAGAUCUCAAGUAAAGGAUGCGUCCCCUUACAAUACUUGCCCAGUAAAAACUGAGUCCAUAGUGACCUGUGAGAUCGGAACAGCCACCAGAGCUUCAUGGAGAAGGUGUCCACCACAUCCUGUAAUCUCCUAAAGCCGAGGCCUCCCUCAUCAGUAGGAAGGCAAAUCGCCUUCCAACUCCUCCAAUGUAGACGUCGUGCUUGAUCCUUAGAAUCCCAUAGAAAUCGGGCAAAGAUGCUCUCAAGUUUCUUCAGCACUGCCUUGGGCGGCUGCAUAAUCUGAAGAAGAUGUAAAGGUAUGGAAGAAAGUACUGACCUCAGUAAUGUAAUACGACCCCCAGGCGAUAGUAAUCGUGAGGCCCAACCUGAUAUCCUAUUCCUUAUCUUCUGGAUAAGGUCAUCAUAAAGGAAGCUCCUUUUAGUCCCCUUGAAUAAGGGGACACCCAAGUAAGUGAAAGGCUGCUGCUGAUGUCUGAAGCCAGUCAAAAUCUCUAGUCGUCUGAUCUGACUAGUGG